rnacentral:rRNA from 1 species
AACGAACGCUGGCGGCAUGCCUAACACAUGCAAGUCGAACGAGACCUUCGGGUCUAGUGGCGCACGGGUGCGUAACGCGUGGGAACCUGCCCUUAGGUUCGGAAUAACUCCCCGAAAGGGGUGCUAAUACCGGAUAAUGUCUUCGGACCAAAGAUUUAUCGCCUUUGGAUGGGCCCGCGUUGGAUUAGCUAGUUGGUAGGGUAAAAGCCUACCAAGGCGACGAUCCAUAGCUGGUCUGAGAGGAUGAUCAGCCACACUGGGACUGAGACACGGCCCAGACUCCUACGUGAGGCAGCAGUGGGGAAUAUUGGACAGUGGGCGAAAGCCUGAUCCAGCCAUGCCGCGUGAGUGAUGCAGGCCUUAGGGUUGUAAAGCUCUUUUACCCGGGAUGAUAAUGACAGUACCGGGAGAAUAAGCUCCGGCUAACUCCGUG